rnacentral:rRNA from 1 species
GACGAACGCUGGCGGCGUGCUUAACACAUGCAAGUCGAGCGAUGAAGAUCCUUCGGGAAUGGAUUAGAGGCGGACGGGUGAGCAACAAGUGGGUAACCUGCCGCAUAGAGGGGAAUAGCCAUCCGAAAGGAAGAUUAAUACCGAAUAAUAUAGUAGCUGCGCAUGAAGUAGCAAUCAAUGGAGUAAUCCGCUAUGAGAUGUACCCGGGUCGCAUUAGCUAGUUGGUGAGGUAACGGCUCACCAAGGCGACGAUGCGUAGCCAACCUGAGAGGGUGAUCGGCCACAUUGGGACUGAGACACGGCACAGACUCCUACGGGAGGCAGCAGUGGGGAAUAUUGCACAAUGGGGGGAACCCUGAUGCAGCAACGCCGCGUGAGUGAUGACGGUCUUCGGAUUGUAAAACUCUGUCUUCAGGGACGAUAAUGACGGUACCUGAGGAGGAAGCCACGGCUAACUACGUGCCAGCCGCCGCCGUAA